AUCCAGCUGACGAGUCCACAAAUAGGACGAAAUGCGCAUCCUGGAU
rfam:Trichobilharzia regenti genome assembly, scaffold: TRE_scaffold0010578